GAUACUCGUCAGUGGCGGACGGGUGAGUAACGCGUAGGAAUCUAUCCUUGAAUGGGGGACAACCGUGGGAAACUACGGCUAAUACCGCAUGAUGCCUGAGGGCCAAAGACGAAAGUCGUUUGAGGAGGAGCCUGCGUCUGAUUAGGUAGUUGGUGGGGUAAAGGCCUACCAAGCCUGCGAUCAGUAGCUGGUCUGAGAGGAUGAUCAGCCACACUGGGACUGAGACACGGCCCAGACUCCUACGGGAGGCAGCAGUGGGGAAUAUUGGACAAUGGGCGCAAGCCUGAUCCAGCAAUGCCGCGUGGGUGAAGAAGGUCUUCGGAUUGUAAAGCCCUUUUGGCAGGGACGAUGAUGACGGUACCUGCAGAAUAAGCUCCGGCUAACUUCGUG
rnacentral:rRNA from 1 species